AGGAAAAACAAAAGAAGAAAGGAGGAAAUAGAUCAUCCUUCCCUGAGAAAUCCAGCUGAAGUUCACUUGCAACAGAAUGAGGAGCUACCGGAAAUGGAGAGUUUGGAGGAGACAACUGCCUCCCUUCAUUACGUUCAGCUGCAGCUUCCUCCAGGAAAAUCCCCCGCCAUUCGCAAUCCGGACAGCACCACCGUUUAUACAGCAAUUGUCUGAUGCUGCUUCCGUCUCCCACCUGGGCACAAAGAUCCAGCAAUCAUCUCUCGAUUCACCGACGAAAUUUUCUAUGACCGCUUUCCUCACUUCCCUCUGUGCCUCUGUAGUUGACAUGUCUCCUCAGCUUCUUCAACUGUACCAUCUACAGCCACCCCAAAAUGGCCAAUCACCUCCUUCAGCUGCCUUCCUUGAAGCCACCCCUUGAGUCCACAUCCUGAACCACAACUAGGCCUGGGCAUGUUUUUGCUGCAUUCCUCCAUAUCCAUCUCUCCUGGGGCUCUUUCUUUUCUUUAUCUCCUCCCUCCCUUUAUGCCAUAACGUGCCAUGUAUACUGAGGAAAAUGUAGAAAUAAUAUUGUAAUAAAUUCAAAGU